rnacentral:rRNA from 1 species
GACGAACGCUGGCGGCGUGCUUAACACAUGCAAGUCGAACGGAAAGGCCCUGCUUUUGUGGGGUUCUCGAUUGGCGAACGGGUGAGUAACACGUGAGUAACCUGCCCUUGACUUUGGGAUAACUUCAGGAAACUGGGGCUAAUACCGGAUAGGAGCUCCUGCUGCAUGGUGGGGGAUGGAAAGUUUCGGCGGUUGGGGAUGGUCUCGCGGCUUAUCAGCUUGUUGGUGGGGUAGUGGCUUACCAAGGCUUUGACGGGUAGCCGGCCUGAGAGGGUGACCGGCGACAUUGGGACUGAGAUACGGCGCAGUCUCCUACGGGAGGCAGCAGUGGGGAAUAUUGCACAAUGGGCGGAAGCCUGAUGCAGCAACGCCGCGUGCGGGAUGCCGGCCUUCGGGUUGUAAACCGCUUUCGCCUGUGACGAAGCGUGAGUGACGGUAAUGGGUAAAGAAGCACCGGCUAACUACGUG